rnacentral:rRNA from 1 species
GACGAACGCUGGCGGCGUGCUUAACACAUGCAAGUCGAACGGAAAGGCCUCUUUCGGGGGGUACUCGAGUGGCGAACGGGUGAGUAACACGUGAGUAACCUGCCCUUUACUUUGGGAUAACUUCAGGAAACUGGGGCUAAUACCGGAUAGGAGCUCCUGCUGCAUGGUGGGGGUUGGAAAGUUUCGGCGGUUGGGGAUGGACUCGCGGCUUAUCAGCUUGUUGGUGGGGUAGUGGCUUACCAAGGCUUUGACGGGUAGCCGGCCUGAGAGGGUGACCGGCCACAUUGGGACUGAGAUACGGCCCAGACUCCUACGGGAGGCAGCAGUGGGGAAUAUUGCACAAUGGGUGGAAGCCUGAUGCAGCAACGCCGUGUGCGGGAUGACGGCCUUCGGGUUGUAAACCGCUUUCGCUCAUGACGAAGCUUUGUGUGACGGUAGUGGGUAAAGAAGCACCGGCUAACUAC